rnacentral:lncRNA from 1 species
GGUCAUAAAAAGCUUCUGGCUUUUCUAUUGGUUACAGUUUCUUAGUCUGUCUUGUAUCACUAACCCUGGGAGAAGGCAGCAGCCUUGUCUGGAAGCAACUCUACAGAGAGAAGCCAUGUUCAGACAAUAACUACAAGAGCCUUAAGAGGAGGCUGCAGCCACUCCCAACACUUUUGACUUCAACCUCGUAAGACUCAAAGGCAAAAGCUCACACUGGACCAUGGCCAGAAUCCUGACCAGCAAAGACAAAAACUGUGAAAUAAUAAAAUGUUCAUUGCUUAGCAGCUAUACUUGGAGGAAAUUGCUAUAUGAUGAUAUAUAACUAAUACAGAUGUUCUAGAGGCCAGGAAGGCUGUAUUUUGAAAAACAUUAAUAGAAGAGAGACUGAGUGUCCCAGUGAAGAGAUUGCUUUAACAGGGUACGAUUCCUACGCACAUCAUCUUGUGAGAAAAGUCAUGGUCUACACUGAAGGUGAUGUCUGCACCUUAGCUCAUUCAGGACCACCAAGAUGCACAGCUCAGAGGGACAUCAUGAAGAUAGUGAAAGGUUCAAAAAGAACAGAGUGGAAAUCACAUUGGGAUUGUUUCAAACUCGGCAUGUUCUUUCUAUUGUGUGUCCUCACGGUAUGUCUCCUCACGGUAUGUCACUUAAAUGUUGCUCCUGUUAUUUUACUUAUCUUAUGGC